rnacentral:rRNA from 1 species
AUAGGUGAAAUGAAUUUCGCCUGAGGAUGAGCCCGCGUCUGAUUAGCUAGUUGGUAAGGUAAUGGCUUACCAAGGCUUCGAUCAGUAGCUGGUCUGAGAGGAUGAUCAGCCACACUGGGACUGAGACACGGCCCAGACUCCUACGGGAGGCAGCAGUGGGGAAUUUUCCGCAAUGGGCGAAAGCCUGACGGAGCAACGCCGCGUGAGGGACGAAGGCCUCUGGGCUGUAAACCUCUUUUCUCAAGGAAGAAGAUAUGACGGUACUUGAGGAAUAAGCCACGGCUAAUUCCGUGCCAGCAGCCGCGGUAAUACGGGAGUGGCAAGCGUUAUCCGGAAUUAUUGGGCGUAAAGCGUCCGCAGGCGGCCUUUCAAGUCUGCUGUUAAAGCGUGGAGCUUAACUCCAUUAUGGCAGUGGAAACUGAUAGGCUUGAGUAUGGUAGGGGCAGAGGGAAUUCCCGGUGUAGCGGUGAAAUGCGUAGAUAUCGGGAAGAACACCAGUGGCGAAGGCGCUCUGCUGGGCCAUUACUGACGCUCAUGGACGAAAGCCAGGGGAGCGAAAGGGAUUAGAUACCCCUGUAGUCCUGGCCGUAAACGAUGAACACUAGGUGUCGGGGGAAUCGACCCCUUCGGUGUCGUAGCUAACGCGUUAAGUGUUCCGCCUGGGGAGUACGCACGCAAGUGUGAAACUCAAAGGAAUUGACGGGGGCCCGCACAAGCGGUGGAGUAUGUGGUUUAAUUCGAUGCAACGCGAAGAACCUUACCAGGGUUUGACAUCCUGCGAACCUCUUAGAAAUUUGAGGGUGCCUUCGGGAAUGCAGUGACAGGUGGUGCAUGGCUGUCGUCAGCUCGUGUCGUGAGAUGUUGGGUUAAGUCCCGCAACGAGCGCAACCCACGUUUUUAGUUGCCAGCAUUUAGUUGGGCACUCUAGAAAGACCGCCGGUGAUAAACCGGAGGAAGGUGUGGAUGACGUCAAGUCAUCAUGCCCCUUACAUCCUGGGCUACACACGUACUACAAUGCUACGGACAAAUGGCAGCAAACUCGCGAGAGCUAGCAAAUCCCAUAAACCGUGGCUCAGUUCAGAUCGUAGGCUGCAACUCGCCUACGUGAAGUAGGAAUCGCUAGUAAUCGCAGGUCAGCAUACUGCGGUGAAUACGUUCCCGGGCCUUGUACACACCGCCCGUCACACCAUGGAAGUUGGCCAUGCCCGAAGUCGUUACUCCAACCCUUGUGGAGGAGGACGCCGAAGGUGGGGCUAAUGACUGGGGUGAAGUCGUAACAAGGUAGCCGUACCGGAAGGUGCGGCUG